GCGCGAGUGGCGAAAUGGCAGCCGCGCCAGGUUUAGGUCCUGGUGCCUUCGGGCGUGCGGGUUCAAGUCCCGCCUCGCGCA
rnacentral:tRNA from 1 species